CCUGGCUCAGUAUUAGAACGCUGGCGGUGUGCUUCACACAUGCAAGUCGAACGAGGUAGCAAUACCUAGUGGCGGACGGGUGAGUAACGCGUGGGAAUCUGCCUUUAGAUGGGGGAUAACGGGUCGAAAGACUCGCUAAUACCGCAUAUGACGAAAGUUGAAAGGAGUAAUCCGUCUAAAGAUGAGCCCGCGUCCGAUUAGCUAGUUGGUAGAGUAAAAGCCUACCAAGGCGACGAUCGGUAGCUGGUCUGAGAGGAUGAUCAGCCACAAUGGGACUGAGACACGGCCCAUACUCCUACGGGAGGCAGCAGUGGGGAAUUUUACGCAAUGGGCGAAAGCCUGACGUAGCGACACCGCGUGAGCGAAGAAGCCCCUUGGGGUGUAAAGCUCUGUCAGCUGGAACGAAAAAAUGACGGUACCAGCAGAGGAAGCAUCGGCUAACUACGUG
rnacentral:rRNA from 1 species